CGGAUGCACUAUUGGGUGGAUGUAAGAAUGGAUGAAACUAUACCUCGGGGGGGCCAUUGGGUGCGAAGCUAAAGAAUGAAUGUUUUGAAAAGCAAUGGGUGGCAUGGAUUAAUGUGCGGAUUGAGAGGUUCAAUAUGAAGUGAAGGUGGAGAUGGUUAGUGGCGUGUGAAGAGGAUGUUGAAUGCGUGAAUCUUGUCUACAUAUGGAUUUUUAUGUGUUUGAUGGCUAGAUGGCUGGGUAUUCAUGGGUGAACAUGAGAAUCAGUGCACAGGUGAUCUAAUUACAUGAGUGAGCAUCAUGGAUGGUUUCAGGUUGUCUGACAGGUGGUUUGAUGAGUAGAUUGAUUUAUGGAUGGUAUAAGAAUUUCAUCAUUGAGAAUAGACACAGUAAAGUCACAUAUAAAGUUGAAUGUGAAGUGGAUGGGCUAAUGAGGCAUACCAGCUAGUUUUUUAUUUAUAAAAUACAUUAAGACAUGAGGUUCUCAAAAUACUGUGAUAAUAACAAAAAAGAAAUCAAAACGCUCCUUAGCAAGAUCACAAGAAUAGUUUUUCUCUUAAAUGGUUUUUUUUUUAAAUUUAAUAAUGUGAGCACUUCUAGGAGGAGGAUCCAAGACUGAACUUGACCUUGCGUUUUAUGUUGGUGUCUGCAUAUAUCACAUUUUCCCAUAUCUUCCACAGUUAUAACUGAGGUGUUCCCAGUGUAAGAAGUGAGACAUCUUAGAUGCUGACAUUUCUAGAUCAAUCCAAAUUGUAGUUCUUAUUGAUCAGUUCUGUGGAUUUGAUCUUCGAAAAUGCUGCAUCUUCCAUAAGCAAGGACCAAAGAGAUUUUGACUGCAGGUGGUGGACAUGUGGACAACAGGACCCUAGGCACCUUCUGAAGUGAUCCCAUCCCCAGCAUCGCCCAGAUGCUGUCUCGUUUCCCCCUCUGAGAAGCUUGCUGCGUCUCUGUUUCUCAAAAGGGCACGGCUUUCCUAGAACUGACCUGCUUGCUGGCAAGUAAUUGCCUGGACUGUGACGUGCUUCUCUGUGCUCUGAAUAUAUGUCAUGUGAUUUCUUCUAUUGUCUUCUUGACCCUGUUGCAUUUUGGGGGGUGGGGGGUGGAAAAAUCCGUGUUUUACUUCACAAAUGGGAGUGAGCGAUGGGGGUGGGAAAUGUGAUUGUGUAACCCAUAGACACCACCUUGGUGACCCCCCACCCCCACCCCAC